UACGGAGGGUGCGAGCGUUAUCCGGAAUUACUGGGUUUAAAGGGUGCGUAGGCGGCUAUGUAAGUCAGGAGUGAAAGUUUGCGGCUCAACCGUAAAAUUGCUUUUGAUACUGCAUGGCUGGAAUUAGGAUGAGGUCAGCGGAAUGUGGCAUGUAGCGGUGAAAUGCAUAGAUAUUGCUCGGAAGGCCGGAGCCGAAGGGGCCCCAUUGGUACGUAACUGACGCUGAGGCACGAAAGCGUGGGGAGCAAACAGG
rnacentral:rRNA from 1 species